AUUGAACGCUGGCGGCAGGCCUAACACAUGCAAGUCGAACGGUAACAGGAAGAAGCUUGCUUCUUUGCUGACGAGUGGCGGACGGGUGAGUAAUGUCUGGGAAACUGCCUGAUGGAGGGGGAUAACUACUGGAAACGGUAGCUAAUACCGCAUAACGUCGCAAGACCCAAAAGAGGGGGGACCCUUUCGGGCCUCUUGCCAUCGGAUGUGCCCAGAUGGGAUUAGCUAGUAGGUGGGGUAACGGCUCACCUAGGCGACGAUCCCUAGCUGGUCUGAGAGGAUGACCAGCCACACUGGAACUGAGACACGGUCCAGACUCUACGGGAGGCAGCGGUGGGAAUAUUGCACAAUGGGCGCAAGCCUGAUGCAGCCAUGCCGCGUGUAAUGAAGAAGGCC
rnacentral:rRNA from 1 species